GGCAUUUCACAAGGGAGAGUAGCUCACUGAUCACAUAGCAAAUUCCACCCUUCUUCAUAUUCUUCAUCUGGGGUUAUUGAACAUCUGAUUCCAACUAAAGUAUAGACCCCUAGUAUAAGAUAUGAAACUCAAACCUCUAAUUUGAAUUCCCACAUGCCAAUCAGCACAUUAUCUUCCACCUAAAGUGAAAAAUAGAUAGAGAAUUGAACUUACUGUUUUCUCUGGAGGAACCGGCAGUCCAUCAAAAAACCCCAUUACCCUUUACCUCAUCCAACUUUUAGAACCAAAAAAUGAGCGUUCUCAACCCCUCGCAAGAAGGUCUUGAUCCCGCCUGAAAACAGCAAAUAACUCUCUAUAAACCAACCGCUACUUAAUUAUAGCCCACGAGUAUGAUUUUCCCGGACAGAGUCGCUGAAAACUUCACUACCUGAUAUUCCUAAUAAAAAGAAGGAAAAAAAAAAUAGAUACGACGAGACAUAAUUUUCAGUUAAACUGCUCAAAUGCUAAUAAAACUCGAAGAUGAACAAGAGAAAAAUUUUCAAAAAAAAAUCCCAAAUGCAUAAAGAAAUUAAGAAAUUAACGCGAACUCGCAUCUAAAAGAAAAACAAAACAAUAACCUAAACCGGUAGAAAAUAGAAAGAAAACUCCAUUGAUUUUGUACAAAACUGAGCAUUUUGGUUUUAAACAACAAAAGAAAAAAGAGGAAUGAAAUUCAGCUUUUGGUUUCUCUGUGCUUUUGCUCUUGACAGCUCGAAAAACAAUUAAUCAUAAAAAUGCGAAGAAUAAGAAGAAGUAGAUCCAAGGAGAUUUCAAGAAAGAAAGUACGUGAAAUCAUGAAUCAAAGGAAACAAACAGCAGAGAUUUGGAUUUUGGUUUUGAGUCUUGCCGCACCUCUGAUUUCUCGGAAUCGCCGUCGUUUUGACGCUAGUCCAGCAUUCGUGAUCCGGGAGAUCUUAAGAGAAAAAAAUUUGAUUCAAAGUAAAAAAAAAAAAAGAAAAAUCAAAAUCCUGGUAGAGAAGCAAGGACGAGAAAAAUAAAAGAGAGGACUCUGGAGCUGUCGACAACGAUAAAUUGUAAAAUAAUAAUUGAUUUUUCUUCUUCUGGUUUGUUUUUCG
rnacentral:lncRNA from 1 species